CCUACGGGAGGCAGCAGUGGGGAAUCUUGCGCAAUGGGCGAAAGCCUGACGCAGCCAUGCCGCGUGAAUGAUGAAGGUCUUAGGAUUGUAAAAUUCUUUCACCGGGGACGAUAAUGACGGUACCCGGAGAAGAAGCCCCGGCUAACUUCGUGCCAGCAGCCGCGGUAAUACGAAGGGGGCUAGCGUUGCUCGGAAUUACUGGGCGUAAAGGGAGCGUAGGCGGAUAGUUUAGUCAGAGGUGAAAGCCCAGGGCUCAACCUUGGAAUUGCCUUUGAUACUGGCUAUCUCGAGUAUGGGAGAGGUUAGCGGAACUCCGAGUGUAGAGGUGAAAUUCGUAGAUAUUCGGAAGAACACCAGUGGCGAAGGCGGCUAACUGGCCCAUUACUGACGCUGAGGCUCGAAAGCGUGGGGAGCAAACAGGAUUAGAUACCCUGGUAGUCCACGCCGUAAACGAUGAGUGCUAGUUGUCGGCAUGCAUGCAUGUCGGUGACGCAGCUAACGCAUUAAGCACUCCGCCUGGGGGAGGUACGGUCGCAGAAUAAAACUAACAAAGAAGUAGUAGACGUCGACGUAGACGACGCCGACGACGACGGAGAGGGAG
rnacentral:rRNA from 1 species